rnacentral:lncRNA from 1 species
GGAUUCAGUUGACACCAUAAUCAGUGUGCUAUCCCUUCGGCAGUUGGUGGACGUUUGGGUUGCCUCCAGUUUCUCGCUGUGACAAACAUGCUUCAAUCCACAUGCAUGUCUCUCUGCCUACAUAGAUUUCUUUUUCUCUCGGGUAAACACCUCAGGGUAGAAUGGCUGGGUCACAUGGUAGCUCUAUGUUUCAUUUUUGAGGAACUGCCAAACCGUUUUCAAGCGGCUGUACCAUUUUUACAUUUCUGCCAGGGGCAUGCGAAUUCGUCUCUGCUUCUUUGGAAAAAGUAUAAAAGAAAGAAGUAAAUACUGGCUGCUAUAAAAAAAAAAGAAAAGAAAAGAAAAGAAAAGGAGAAAAAGAAUUUUAAUCCAGAAAUAUAGAGAGUAAGAAAGGGUGAAGGUCCCUUUUGUUCCACUCCGGUCCUAGUUCCUCAUACAUACGUGCGUGUGGGUGUGUAGGUGAGAUUCUGUGAGAUCUGUUGCUCUGGCUCUGGCUCUGGCUCUGGCUCUGGCUCUGGCUCCCCUGGAUGCACACCGAAGCCUAGAGGUCUUCUGUCGUCAGCGCCCAUGGCCCUACCUCCACCUCAGGGCAGGAAGGCUGCCCAUGACAAAGGAGUCCAUUUCUCGCGGUUGACCCGAUCUCCUGGCAGCACCACAGGCUUGGCCGCCCUCCUGGAGAGUGAGAGAAUGUUCGGGAACAAUUGCCCAGUAAAAAGACCCAGAAGAAAUCCGCCUAAAGGAGAGACAAACAGAGCUGUGAAUCUGUCUCAGCAGCAGAAUAAAAGACUAGGAGCCUGGCCUGAGCAUGUUGCCAAAAUCUAAACUAAUAAAAGACUGAUUUCAGGUAAAGAAAACCUUUGCCUGCCAGAGAGACCUCCACAACUCUCUUACCAGAAAAGUAGAUUAUUUACAUUUGCAGAUGCUACUGUGUUCAUUGCCCACAAAAAGCAUGUAUGAGGAUAAGCUUGUGACAAAUGCUCAUCCACCAUCUGAUUUAUUUUAGGGUUAGUCCUUUACUUUUCCCUUCUGCUCUUCUCCA